UACGAAGGGUGCAAGCGUUGCUCGGAAUUAUUGGGCGUAAAGGGUAGGUAGGUGGUCUUGUUUGUCUGGGGUGAAAUCCUUGGGCUUAACCUAAGAAGUGCCUCAGAAACGGCAAGACUAGAGUACUGGAGAGGGUCGUGGAAUUCCCGGUGUAGCGGUGAAAUGCGUAGAGAUCGGGAGGAACACCAGAGGCGAAGGCGGCGACCUGGACAGUAACUGACACUAAACUACGAAAGCGUGGGGAGCAAACAGG
rnacentral:rRNA from 1 species